UGGGGUGUAGCUCAGUGGUACAGCACUCGCCUAGCAUGUGCAAGGCCUUGGGUUCGAUCCUCAGCACCACAU
rnacentral:tRNA from 1 species